AGGUGCAGCCGAGCUGAGAGCCUCUGUGCCCGUCGAGGAGCAGCCUGGGGCUCCCGUGGAGGGUCCACUCCUUCAGCCAGCCCAGAAGCUGCGAGAGCUGGAGAGCACAGUCUUGGAGGGAAAGGGGUUCUUGAACAGAUGAGUCUUCUCAGCUCGAUGUCAGCCCAGGCCUUGCCCCGCGCUACAGCCUGAGCUCGCUCCUGCCUGGAACUGUGCUCCUUCCGUCCAGCCUGACUUUGUUGCUGAAUCAGCACAAACACGCAGUCAGGUCAGUGAACGGCCACUCGACGCCACAGCCGUGCAGGCGGGCGGCAUCCAUCCCGGUGGACACGUAGCCGCAGUCACUUCGGAUAAAACAACCCAAGAGGCAGACAUGAGGUGCAGCUGCCCAACUUCCCAUCAGCAGCCUCCGCUCUCCAUCCACCUCCUGUAACUCAGGGACCGAAACGCUCCCCCUCCUGGCCUCCACCUUAAAGCUUUGCUCAUUUACCUGGAAAAGUGGUGAAAAGCAGCAACAGGACCUGAAAGACUGAAAGUUGGUUUCCCCAUCGUCUCUCAUACUCUACAAGUCCUUCAGGGUCUCCUGACUUCUGCCGGACCCGGGGCCCGUGGGCUACCAUGAGAGCGCGCAGUCGGGUAACACAGCUCUGGACAUGGCCUUCCUACAGUGACUGUCGAACAGAUGACCCACAUCAAGAUGGAGCAGCGUGGGGAAACGGCAAUUUAACAGGUGAAUCGGCAAGUCUAGAAACACCGCAGGAAGGCCAAGACCCUUUUACAGAGUUAAAGACAACCACACUCACACAGUUUUUAGGAAUGCCUACGACGCAGAGCCACAGGGAAAAGAGAGCAAGCCCCUGCCCCAGAUGCAAGCUCCGGCUCCCAGCCCCUCGAAGGUGCAGGGGGAUGCCCAGAGCCCCCUGCUUGUCCACCUUCCCGCGCGGAAGCGCUGUCGAAGCUCUGGAGGUUCUGUGGUCCUUCUGCGGCCUCUGGUCAACAACACCCGCCCCCGCCGGUCUGGGAAGAGAUAUUAGACACUGCCUGUGAAGCUCCUGACCUCAUCGGAGAAAGUGCUCUGUGAAUCUGAGGGAUUAAAAAUAGAAGCGAAACCAGAAGACGUCUGAGCACAAGGGUGAAAAUUUCCUGUGCCGCUCGAUCAGCCGGCGUCUGACUGAAGAUGACAUCGCCGACAAGACACGAACCCCUCCUCAGCCCAGCUCUGCCGCAUCCUGGCUAUGUGAUCUCGGACGGCCAGCCCCCGCCGGUCCCUCGUCUGUAAGAGGUGCCCGCACGCGGACCCAGCAUAACGACGCUGCACGGACGUGUUAGCGCCUCAAUCGCUGGCCCGUGGGCAGAUCAAGACCCUGCAGGACUCGCUUCCUUGUUCCGACACAGCCACCUCCAAAGCAGCUUUCCCGGAAGGACCAGGACUGCACGAUGUCAUCACAAGCAGACGCAAGCCCGAGGAGAGAACUGACAAAGGAGACUGUCCCCACACCCCUGGGCUCAGGGACCAAGUGGCGCUGGCCACACAGGGCCUGCCCUCGGCGCACAGCGGCCACCGCACACUUGCCCGCAGGGUAAAUGCAGGGGCCCGGCAUUUGCCAAGACUCUGAGCCGAGGAAACAGAGGCCGGCCCCAGGACUCAGGCAUCUGCUAAUCUGUGCUGUGUCAGAUUUUUCUCCUCGUGAAUAGUUUCAGAUAUAGAGAACGCUUAAGAAAAAUAACCCAUUGCACUUGA